rnacentral:rRNA from 1 species
GGCAACCCUGACGGAGCAACGCCGCGUGCGGGAGGAAGGCCUUAGGGUUGUAAACCGCUUUUCUCAGGGAAGAAGAUCUGACGGUACCUGAGGAAUAAGCAUCGGCUAACUCCGUGCCAGCAGCCGCGGUAAGACGGAGGAUGCAAGCGUUAUCCGGAAUUAUUGGGCGUAAAGCGUCCGCAGGCGGCUAAUUAAGUCUGCUGUCAAAGCGUGGGGCUUAACUCCAUAGAGGCAGUGGAAACUGGUUGACUAGAGUGCGGUAGGGGUCGAGGGAAUUCCCAGUGUAGCGGUGAAAUGCGUAGAUAUUGGGAAGAACACCAGUGGCGAAAGCGCUCGACUGGGCCUGCACUGACACUGAGGGACGACAGCUAGGGGAGCG